rnacentral:rRNA from 1 species
GAUGAACGCUGGCGGCGUGCCUAAUACAUGCAAGUCGAGCGAACAGAUGAGGAGCUUGCUCCUCUGACGUUAGCGGCGGACGGGUGAGUAACACGUGGAUAACCUACCUAUAAGACUGGGAUAACUUCGGGAAACCGGAGCUAAUACCGGAUAAUAUAUUGAACCGCAUGGUUCAAUAGUGAAAGACGGUUUUGCUGUCACUUAUAGAUGGAUCCGCGCCGCAUUAGCUAGUUGGUAAGGUAACGGCUUACCAAGGCAACGAUGCGUAGCCGACCUGAGAGGGUGAUCGGCCACACGGGAACUGAGACACGGUCCAGACUCCUACGGGAGGCAGCAGUAGGGAAUCUUCCGCAAAGGGCGAAAGCCUGACGGAGCAACGCCGCGUGAGUGAUGAAGGUCUUCGGAUCGUAAAACUCUGUUAUUAGGGAAGAACAAAUGUGUAAGUAACUAUGCACGUCUUGACGGUACCUAAGCAGAAAGCCACGGCUAACUACGUG